AGUAUUGUUGUGGAGGUUCAAGUUGUGUUUUGUUGACAUACAUGUCUUAGAAUUACCUUAAAACGAGCAUAAAAAGAUAAUGGGAGCUUCUGGUACAAUUUACUGCUUGAACAUGGCCUGAUAUCCAGUGGCCUUUUCUCUCUCUGAAACAUCUACUUUUCAUUCCUGUAAACUGAGAUGCUUGUGUUAUGUAAUUCUCCUUAUCUGCUUUUGGAGUUUUACACUGCUGUUCACAUAGUAUGAAGAUCUGUGAGCAUGCUAUGGGAAAAACCAGAUGGGGUUCAAAGUAUGUUAAUCAGAUGUGCCCCGUAGACUUCCCAAGAGUGAUGCUCUGGCAGUUUGUGACUAGUGGCUGAAUUUUGCUUUGGGUGAAAGAAGAGGAGCGGGAAGUUCUGGGAACAGGAUUGUAGAGGCCUGGCUUCAUCUGCCUGCCUAAAAGCUGCAGGCAGACCCAGUGUGAAAAGGGACAGAAGAGAACUCAUGCAGUGUACGAGCAAAUAGCCAGCGCAGUUCCCUUUCCAUGGCACAAGUGACAGAUGGGCUUUCCUUGUUUAUGCUGAUAAAGUCUGAGAUUUUUUACAUGUAAUUUUAGAUUUGAGAGUAACUUAAAUGCAUAUUUGUUGUAUAUCUAUGGCUAUAAUGGAAAUAAAAACUACUUUAUGUAUUGUUUAUGCAUAUUGUCUAAUAGAGAUGAUUUUGUAAUUCAUUAUAAUCUUGAUUUUAAGAAAUCAGUAAAAUGGCUACUAUUGCUAUUUUGGGGGUCUUUAAUUUUAUUUUUGGGGGGGGUCUUUAAUUUUAGAUGUAUGUUGUGUUUAACUUUUUCCCUGUCUUUUUAUCUUUACUUUUUUGUCCUCCACAUGCUGUGGUUAAACCCUUGCACUUUCUUCACCAAAACACGGCGUGUUUGACCUCAUCUUUGUAUUGAUGUUUAUUACACAGCACUACAAAACCUGCUCCACACCUGGAUGGGGUACAUGUUGUCUUUGGACUGGUUAUCUCUGGUUUUGAAGUAAUCGAGCAGAUAGAAAAUCUGAAAACUGAUGCCGCAAGCAGACCUUAUGCAGAUGUGCGAGUUAUUGACUGCGGGGUGCUUGCCACAAAAUCAACAAAAGAUGGUAAGACCUUGUUGAGGGUGGAGGAAACUAGGGUUGAGGUAAAGCCUUGUUGGAGACUGUAAAAAUACCUCCUCAGUUGCAGUGGUGGAAGAAAGGCCAUGGGUGGUGUAAAGAUAGCUCUUCAUGUCCCUGCUUCACAGCCCACCUCCAGUCAGUCGGCAGAUCUUGUACCGUCCCUCCUCCCACUGCUUCCCCUUGCUGCCAGCCUAAGCUCUGCCACCAGGGUCUCAGGCCUUGAUUAUGCAGUGGCCUCGUGACUGUUCACCUUGCCUCCAUCUCCUUGCUCUUCUCUGCUCUUUUCUCGGGCCAGUAUCUCACCUGGUCCCUUGCUUAUGUCUGGGGUUUGCACUUAGCAGUAACCAGCUGGUCCCUGGUCUUUUCAUCUUGCGUACAAGGAAGCUCCCUUCUUAGCCAGAGCUGCGGUCUUUAUGGGGCCUAGCAGGCCCUGGGUGAUCGAGCUCCCAACCCUUUCCCCUCCAGUGCCUCCCAGCAUGGCGACCUUGUAGCACUCUUCUCUCCCUCUAGAACUCUUAUCUCUAAGCAUCGGCACUACUCCUCCUCCUCCAGGGAUGUGGCAGAUACUGCCUUAAACUACUCUACUCCCCUGCUCCCUCUGCAUUGGUCUUACUGAUUUACUUUUCUGUGGUAGCAUUUAUCAUUUGUCAUCUCACAUAGUUAUUUAUUUUCCUAUUAUCUGACCCGUUUAGAAUACAGGCUUUCUGCAGUUUUGCAAACAGUAGUUUUCUCAACUUGCAAAGUUUAUUUAAAUUUCAUCUUUAGUUUGCUGUACAUCAAGCCAUAAAGUUUAGUCUGAAAUGC
ensembl:lncRNA